GACGAACGCUGGCGGCGUGCCUAAUACAUGCAAGUCGAACGGAGUGGCGCACGGGUGAGUAAUAUAUAGCUAAUCUGCCCCUUGCUGGAGGACAACAGUUAGAAAUGACUGCUAAUACUCCAUAGCAAGGGAUGGGACUAUAUCGUAUCAGCUAGUCGGUGGGGUAACGGCCUACCGAGGCUAUGACGCGUAACAGGUCUGAGAGGAUGAGCAGUCACAUUCGACCUGAGGCACGGUCCAAACACCUACGGGAAGGAGCAGUAGGGAAUAUUGCCCAAGGGGGGAAACCCUGACGCAGCAUCGCCGCGUGGAGGAUGACACUUUUCGGAGCGUAAACUCCUUUUGUUAGGGAAGCGGUACCUAACGAAUAAGCACCGGCUAACUCCGUGCCAGCAGCCGCGGUAAUAC
rnacentral:rRNA from 1 species